UCCCUCUCAGGAUGGCACCUGGAGAGUUUCCAGUAUCCUACCAGUCUCGACUAUGGGAGGGAAAGUCAAGAAAAGCCAUAUCGAUUCCAUUCCUAGCUUGGGCAGUGGCUAGCGAGUGGAAGACAAUCUGCUACAAGU